UACGGGGGGGGUAAGCGUUGUUCGGAAUUACUGGGCGUAAAGGGCGAGUAGGUGGCCAUCUAAGUCAGACGUGAAAUCCCCCGGCUUAACCUGGGAACUGCGUCUGAUACUGGACGGCUUGAGUAUGGGAGAGGAACGUAGAAUUCCAGGUGUAGCGGUGAAAUGCGUAGAUAUCUGGAGGAAUACCGGUGGCGAAGGCGGCGUUCUGGACCAUUACUGACACUGAAUCGCGAAAGCUAGGGGAGCAAACGGG
rnacentral:rRNA from 1 species